rnacentral:rRNA from 1 species
UACGGAGGGGACUAGCGUUGUUCGGAUUUACUGGGCGUAAAGGGUGCGUAGGCGGCCUAGUAAGUUUAGAAGUGAAAGCCUGGGGCUCAACCCCAGAACUGCUUCUAAAACUAUUAGGCUAGAGUAUGGGAGAGGAUAGUGGAAUUCCUAGUGUAGAGGUGAAAUUCUUAGAUAAUUAGGAGGAACACCGGUGGCGAAAAGCGACUAUCUGGAACAUUACUGACGCUGAGGCACGAAAGCGUGGGGAGCAAAACAGGAUUGAGAUACCCGGUAGUCC